UACAGAGACUGCAAGCGUUAUUCGGAUUCACUGGGCGUAAAGGGUGCGCAGGCGGCCAAGUGUGUGAGGCGUGAAAGCCCGGGGCUUAACUCCGGAAUUGCACCUCAAACUACAUGGCUAGAGCAUUGGAGAGGGUAGCGGAAUUCACGGUGUAGCAGUGAAAUGCGUAGAUAUCAGGAGGAACACCGGUGGCGAAGGCGGCCCUCUGGACGGUGACUGACGCUGAGACGCGAAAGCGUGGGGAGCAAACAGG
rnacentral:rRNA from 1 species